AAUGCGGGUCUUGAAAGUACUGAGGCCACCUGAGUUCAGCGACAAUGGAUAGAUAAAAUGACUCUGAAGCUGUGUGGAAGCUGAUGGCAGAAUUGAUUCCGAGAGCUAAGGUAAGUGUGCUAAGGGGGGUUUCCAUGAGCCUUAUUAAAAUAUACCUCUUAGCCAUGAAAAGCCCAGGGCAUUCUAUGAACUGGAAAAGCCCUGUUCCAACGUGGAGAAUAUCUAUUCCACAGUCACUGAAAUACAAUUUCUUCAUCAAGCUUCAGCAAUGUGUAAUUCUUAAGGUUUUAGAAGAGAGGCAAAAGAGUGUUUCCAGAUGUUUGAAAAAUAUCAUUUUAGGCAGAACAUUCAGCAAAUGAGUUUUUACUUUGGUUGUGCUUACCUUUGAGGAAGUUCAGAGAUUUCAACUUAAAUAGUGGAUGUGAAGUCCAUCUUGAAUUCAAUUUCACGACUCUCUUUGGCCCACUGGAUAUACAGGAAGCGGUAAAAAGCUGUAUGGUGGCUCUGUAGGAAUUGAAAGUCCUUGGGCAAAUCAAUCAGACCUGACUCUCCACAUCAGCAAGCCAGGAUAAUAAUAUUGGCUAAACUUAUUUGAAUUCCAUCUGGAUUUACUUACUGGCAAGUGUAAAGUGUUUUCAAAAUACCAAAUAUUAUAUAGGGCAUCCAAGCAGCUUAAAUUUCAGCUGCCCUAUCCUUUCCUUUCCUGCACUGCUCAGCAUGGUGGGAUACAGUGAAGCCCCAAAUUGCUGGGCUCCCAGGUGCUGGCCCAAUGCUGUCCUCAUGUGCUGCUCAUGCUGGCCAAGACCUGCCUUCGGGCCACCUACUCUCUAUUAACCUCCAACAACAAUUUUGGCAGUCCUAAGGAAAAUUUUGUUUUUAGACUUAGUGAUAUCAGAAUAAAACCAUAUGAAUUCUCUGAAAAUACAAAAACUUAUAAUUGUUACUGAAAAUGUUUAAGUUUCCCAGCAUGUAAUUGGGAACCUCCCCGCUCCCCUCACCCCCAAAACAUAGGCUUGUCAGACCACGCUAACAUGCUUGAGAAAUACAUGUGCCUCUGGAUGCAUGAAAUAUUUUAAUAUUUUAAAACCAUCUCUAGUUUUCUUACCAUGUAUAUUUGUUUACUGUACACCAUAGAAAGCCUCAUUUCUCUAUCUUUCCUGAAUAUGUAGGGUAUCCGAGAAAUGCAACUUUGUGCCCCUGUAGUAAGUUUCUACAUACCAUCUCUUUGGGAUAGCUAAAAGCUUCUACAUGAACUUCCUAAUGUUGAUGGACUCAAAAUCCCCUGGAUUUCUAUUCUCUGGGAACACUUUUCCAAAGCAGAAGAGCAAAGGUAAAGAAACGCUGGAUUGAAAAAAAAAAAAGCAAGUGACAAGUGAAUACAGGAAAAUUCUACCUUAAGAAGUUUCUCCAUCUCAUUGCCUCAUUCUCAGAGCCUAUUCAGUACUUGGAAAAAUUCAUAACCUGGCAAAAUACAAGUAUUCAUUCUCCUCCAGGCUGUAAGCCAAAUCAAACCAUUCUUUUUAAUUACAGGUGAAUAAUAACACCCUUAAAUUUCUUACAAAUAACGUCAGCCUCCUUUUGCUUUUGGACUGAUGGAAGGUGAUGAAUGAAGACCUUUUAAUUCAGCACAGCUGGAUGUCUUUUGUUGCACUUCCUCUCAAACAUUGCUGUGCAGAUCUGGCCUAUUUUGUCAGAUGUGCUGAAAACAACCUGCCUGACUGGAGGUGGAAACAGCCUUCAAACAGAAGACAUUUGUGUGAUUGAAUACCCUGUCGGGAAGGCAGCUGUGGCAGUCAAUGUACGAGGUGGAAGAUAUGCCAUUUGUUUGAGAGAGAGACAGUGUGUGUGUGUGUGUGUGUGUGUGUGUGUGUGUGCAAGUGUGUGUGUGUGUGUGCGUGUGUGUGCAAGUGUGUCUUGAUUUGAUGGUUCUCCCAGGACUAAAGAAGGCCCCUCUGGUCAAUUUUUGAAGCUGGUAUGAAAGUGACGUUAGUACUGCUGUCAACUUUGAGGCUGUAAAAGAGAAGGCCUACUGUCUGGACUUAAAGCCUUUGUUCCCCUAUGGUCUUCAGAAAGUCUGUGAGCUGCAGGCCUCUGUGACAUCUGGAUAAGGAGUUGACUUGCUACAGGUUGCAGCUUACUCAGCUUCUUCCAAGAAUGAAUUCAUAGCAUUUCCCUGGGAAGAUGGUGAAAGAGUUCAGUGGCCACCCUUCACCAUUUCCCUGCCUUUCCAUAGGCUUGCUUGAAAUGAGUGAUCUGUGAUAGGGUGCAUCUGGACCUUAUCUCAGUAGUGCUGAUCAGUGUCCACAGAGACAUGAGUGUUGUUGCCCAUAAUAGAUAGCUCAGCUGACUCCAGUUUACCAGGGAUGUAUUCUCUAGGCACAAGGGCCAAGCUGGUGAGCCAACAAACUAGUUUCCCAAGAUGAAACAAAGCCUUGGACACUCGAAAUGUUUUUUGCUAGACUAGGUGCAAAGUGUUUCUCAACUGCCUUGAGAGAUAGGUAUUGUCUCCAUUUUACAGAUUUAAAAAAUGAUAAUAAAUGAGGCUUGGAAGAGGGAUAGGUAGUAAAUUUAGGAAGUAAUAAAUCUAGAGAUUCACACCUGGGUUUAGCUUGAAAUCCUGUGCUCUUAGACAAAUUUGACUAUUAUCAUUUUAUCAGUGUCCAAUAAAACUGAAAGAGAUUAUUUGAAAAAAGAAACCAGAUUACACUUUAAGAAAUGUAUAAUAAUCUUAUUCAAAAAGGUUUAAACUCAGGAUUUAUUUAAUAUGCAAACAUAAUUUCCUAGAUUUUUAAAAAUGUCCUCCUCUUAUUCUCCUUUUAAAUGAAAAUAACCCCAACAAUGAUUACUAGAUGUAUUUGCAACACCAGGAAGAAAGAGGAAGAAGACAAAUGGUGGGUGAGACUCUCCUCUUCAGAACUCUGGUUUCGUUCCAAUUGUCUUUAAAUUCCUCGUGUGGAACCACACACCACAAUUAAUUCACUCAACAAACUCGGUGAUCGAUCAUCAGCUAAUAAGUACCUACUAUAAGAUUAGAGAGUUUAACGCUCCAGGUUUGAAUAUAAAUGCUGUAUUUGGAGGAAUGUUGAAUAUAGUAAAGAAAUGUCCUUAAUUAGCUGGAAACCUAAGUUACUGAAGUAAGCUCUAUAUGUUUAAACUUUAUUGCCUUCACAUGCUAGAUGUUUUGCAAUAUGUCUUUGGAUAUGUCUUUGUUUUGAGGGACUGUCCUGUACAUUAUAAACUUUUUAGCAAUAUCCUUGGCCUCUAUCCAUGGGUUGUCAACAGUACUCUUUCACAGUUGUGAAAAUAAAAAAUGUCUGUAGAUAUUGUGAAAUGUCUCCUGGGAGGCAAAUUGCCCUUGGUGGAGUACAACUGCUUUAAAAGAUUUGUUACCAUAUAAAGCAAAAAUUAAAUCAAUUUUGAAGAU